GGGCGGUUAGCUCAGCGGGAGAGCGCUUGACUCACAUUCAAGAGGCCACAGGUUCGAUCCCUGUACCGCCCACCA
rnacentral:tRNA from 1 species